rnacentral:rRNA from 1 species
GACGAACGCUGGCGGCGUGCCUAAUACAUGCAAGUUGAGCGCUGAAGGUUGGUACUUGUACCGACUGGAUGAGCAGCGAACGGGUGAGUAACGCGUGGGGAAUCUGCCUUUGAGCGGGGGACAACAUUUGGAAACGAAUGCUAAUACCGCAUAAAAACUUUAAACACAUGUUUUAAGUUUGAAAGAUGCAAUUGCAUCACUCAAAGAUGAUCUCGCGUUGUAUUAGCUAGUUGGUGAGGUAAAGGCUCACCAAGGCGAUGAUACAUAGCCGACCUGAGAGGGUGGACGGCCAAAAUGGGAAUGAGACAAGGCCCAAACUCCUACGGGAGGCAGCAGGAGGGAAACUUCGGGAAUGGACGAAAGGCUGACCGAGCAAAGCCGCGUGAGUGAAGAAGGGUUUCGGAUCGUAAAAAUCUGUUGGUAGAGAAGAAAGUUGGGGAGAGUGGAAAGCUCAUAAAGUGACGGUAACUAACCAGAAAGGGACGGCUAACUACGUG